UACAGAGGUCUCAAGCGUUGUUCGGAUUCAUUGGGCGUAAAGGGUGCGUAGGUGGCGGGGUAAGUCAGGUGUGAAAUUUCGGAGCUUAACUCCGAAACUGCAUUUGAUACUGCCUUGCUUGAGGACUGGAGAGGAGACUGGAAUUUACGGUGUAGCGGUGAAAUGCGUAGAUAUCGUAAGGAAGACCAGUGGCGAAGGCGGGUCUCUGGACAGUUCCUGACGCUGAGGCACGAAGGCCAGGGAGCAAACGGG
rnacentral:rRNA from 1 species